AGCGAGAUGGCCGAGCGGUCCAAGGCGCUGGUUUUAGGCACCAGUCUCUUGGGGCAUGGGUUCGAAUAACACUCUCGUCA
rnacentral:tRNA from 1 species